UGUGUGUGUGUGUGUGUGUGUGUGUGUGUGUGUGUGUGUGUGUGUGUGUGUGUGUGUGUGUGUGUGUGUGUGUGUGUGUAGUGUAAAUAUAAAUAAUUCUAUGAAAACAUAAAAAGUUCUCAUGAAAGUGUAUUUGAUGCUACAUAGAAUAUUUAUAAAUUAUUAUAUGUUAAAAAUUUACUUUAAUAUUUAAUUUUGGAUAUAUUUUAUUCUUAGAGAGGCUUAUUUUUUAUUUCGUUUGAGUGUAGGAUCUUUAUUCAAUUCAGCUGUAGCUGCCAUCAUAGCUGUUGCAUUCAUGCAUUAAUUUAUGUUCAUUUAGGCAAAAAUUUAAUUACGCGUGUUUCUUUGUUUUGAAGGUGAUUGCUGUGUGACAAGGCAACAGGAGAGCAAGGGUGAAGGCGAGAGAGGUGGCGGCAGCGUGGCAAGGGUGGGAAGACCCGCAAUUUCCGAUGAGCUUACAUCCAGGAAACCCUUCAAACGCCAAACGUCGAUACGCCGACUCUCGAACCAGCAGCAGCCAUCUUGGAGGGUUGCUACUGUGCGUUUCCUCUCUCUUGCAAACUCUUGAUGCUAUAAAGCAAUUUUGACGUCCUCGAUCUAACGUCGGAUUAAACGACAAUGGUAAUUAAUAAAAAGAUCCGUCGAAAUUUGUUAACGGAGAACUCAUUUCAAACCAUUCUAAGUCAACAUAUUAAACAAAAACUUGAAAUUACAUGAAAGACAUUUCCAAAGUUUUCGAUAACUUUAUAUAAUUAUAAUUUUAUUUUAUUAAAUUACAUUAAUUUACAUGCAAUAUUUUCUAUGCAAUAUAAUCCGGAAUAAUUUUUUCAAUAUAACAUUCAGAAAAUAUAUAAAUUUUAAUAAUUUAUAAAAAUUUCAAAUUAUACAUUUAAACGCAUUUAAAUUAAAAGAGAGAAAAUGGUAAUAAACUAUCGUUUUCUUUAAAUAACUAAGUAAAUAUUUAUGUGACAUUAUUCUUGCCGGUUUGUUAGCCAUAGAGUUCUAUUAAUCGUGUUAUAAGUAAAAAUUUGUCGAAUAUACAAACGAUACAAUUAACAAUUUAUUAAAGAGGGAAAAAAGGUUGCAGUUAUGGAAUUUAUAGGAAGAUUAUAACAUUACCAACAAAUAUAUGUAUUGUUGAAAUUAUUUUUAUUUUUAACAAAGAAAAAAUUAAUUUUUGACAGAUUUUACACAUUAGUAUCACAAAGCAUCUUGUACACCGUAUAACACAAAAAAAAUAUGUAUAAAAAAAUCUUUGGCUCUUAUGACACUGCGUAUUGUAAAAUUAUUAUAAAUGUAUUAUAAUAAUCAAUAUUAGCUAAUUAAUAUCGUAAAAGUAUUGCAAAAGAUACUGUGCAAUAACGGGGGAUUUAUGAGACUCAGAUUUGCUAGAACACAAGUCUAUAACACUGGUUAUAAAACUUUAUACGUCAUACGCAUUACGUCAAACAUUAAAUUCAAUUACUCCAUUCAAAAGCUAUAUUCAAGCCCUUCAAGGUUAAAAUUAAAAAAUUAAUACCCAAUAUUUCAAAAUUACCAAAACAAUACAUACUUAUAAAACUUUUGGCUAUUGCAAUACUGAAAUACAAGUUAUAUGACAACAAACAUUAAUAACCAUCAGUGACCAUGUUAUGACAUCUAAUCUAAAUGGCAAACACAGGUGUGUCAAAAGUGCCCUAUACUGUAUUAUACCUGCCGUCGCUUCCAUUCGAUGCUAUACUAGUAUUCUAUACGGAUUCGCGAUUCGAAUAGGGAGUGAAAAAAAGCGAAAGAAGGGUAACUGAAUAGUCGCUCCGAAACAAGUUCCAA
rnacentral:lncRNA from 1 species